AUGAAGGUCUUCUUCCUGCUGCUGGUGGCUGUGUAUGUGCUGUAUCUGGUGUUUCUGGUGCUGUGUGCCUGCUCUGAGCUCAAGAACGCGCCUUACACAGGUAACACACACACACACACACACACACAGAGAGAGAGUCAUGUGCAUGUGUGUGAUUCUCGUCUGAUUGGUUUGCUCAGAUCUGCGGCUGAAGUUCCUGACUGCACUGACGCUGCUGGUGCUGGUGAUCAGGUCUGUCAACACACACACACUCACAAAUAUACACACACACACACUCACAAAUACACACACACACACACACACACUCACAAAUAUACACACACACACAAACUCACAAAUAUACACACACACGCUCACAAUUACACACACACACACACAAACACACACAAAAACUCACACUCCCACUUUCACACACACACACACUCACACACACUCACACACACUCACAAAUACACACACACACACACACUCACACACACACACUCACACACACUCACAAAUAUACACAUACACACACACACUCACACACACUCACAAAUAUACACACACACACACACACACACACACACUCACAAAUACACACACACAAACACACACAAAAACUCACACUCCCACUUUCACACACACACACACUCACAAAUAUACACACUCACAAAUAUACACACACACACUCACAAAUAUACACACACACACACUCACAAAUACACACACACACACACACACACUCACAAAUAUACACACACACACACACACUCACAAAUACACACACACACACACAAAUAUACACACACACACACUCACAAAUAUACACACACACACACUCACAAAUAUACACACACACACACUCACAAAUAUACACACACACACACUCACAAAUAUACACACACACACACUCACAAAUAUACACACACACACACUCACAAAUAUACACACACACACACUCACAAAUAUACACACACACACACUCACAAAUAUACACACACACACACUCACAAAUAUACACACACACACACUCACAAAUAUACACAUUUAAUGAAUUUUUUGUAA
ensembl:lncRNA